rnacentral:rRNA from 1 species
CGUGUAGGCGGCGUAUCAAGCUUGGUGUGAAAUCUUCCGGCUCAACCGGAAAGGCGCGCUGAGAACUGAUAUGCUAGAGUUUAAGAGGGGGGAGUUAGAAUUCCAGGUGUAGGGGUGAAAUCUGUAGAUAUCUGGAAGAAUACCGGUGGCGAAGGCGAACUCCUGGCAAUAAACUGACGCUGAGGCGCGAAAGCGUGGGUAGCAAACA